rnacentral:rRNA from 1 species
AUUGAACGCUGGCGGCAGGCUUAACACAUGCAAGUCGAACGAUGAAACUCUAGCUUGCUAGAGAAGAUUAGUGGCGGACGGGUGAGUAACAUUUAGGAAUCUGCCUAGUAGUGGGGGAUAGCUCGGGGAAACUCGAAUUAAUACCGCAUACGACCUACGGGUGAAAGGGGGCGCAAGCUCUUGCUAUUAGAUGAGCCUAAAUCAGAUUAGCUAGUUGGUGGGGUAAAGGCCCACCAAGGCGACGAUCUGUAACUGGUCUGAGAGGAUGAUCAGUCACACCGGAACUGAGACACGGUCCGGACUCCUACGGGAGGCAGCAUUGGGGAAUAUUGGACAAUGGGGGCAACCCUGAUCCAGCCAUGCCGCGUGUGUGAAGAAGGCCUUUUGGUUGUAAAGCACUUUAAGCAGGGAGGAGAGGCUAAUGGUUAAUACCCAUUAGAUUAGACGUUACCUGCAGAAUAAGCACCGGCUAACUCUGUGCCAGCAGCCGCGGUAAAUACAGAGGGUGCGAGCGUUAAUCCGAAUUACUGGGCGUAAAGCGAGUGUAGGUGGCUCAUUAAGUCACAUGUGAAAUCCCCGGGGCUUAACCUGGGAACUGCAUGUGAUACUGGUGGUGCUAGAAUAUGUGAGAGGGAAGUAGAAUUCCAGGUGUAGCGGUGAAAUGCGUAGAGAUCUGGAGGAAUACCGAUGGCGAAGGCAGCUUCCUGGCAUAAUAUUGACACUGAGAUUCGAAAGCGUGGGUAGCAAACAGGAUUAGAUACCCUGGUAGUCCACGCCGUAAACGAUGUCUACUAGCCGUUGGGGUCCUUGAGACUUUAGUGGCGCAGUUAACGCGAUAAGUAGACCGCCUGGGGAGUACGGCCGCAAGGUUAAAACUCAAAUGAAUUGACGGGGGCCCGCACAAGCGGUGGAGCAUGUGGUUUAAUUCGAUGCAACGCGAAGAACCUUACCUGGUCUUGACAUAGUGAGAAUCCUGCAGAGAUGCGGGAGUGCCUUCGGGAAUUCACAUACAGGUGCUGCAUGGCUGUCGUCAGCUCGUGUCGUGAGAUGUUGGGUUAAGUCCCGCAACGAGCGCAACCCUUUUCCUUAUUUGCCAGCGGGUUAAGCCGGGAACUUUAAGGAUACUGCCAGUGACAAACUGGAGGAAGGCGGGGACGACGUCAAGUCAUCAUGGCCCUUACGACCAGGGCUACACACGUGCUACAAUGGUAGGUACAGAGGGUUGCUACACAGCGAUGUGAUGCUAAUCUCAAAAAGCCUAUCGUAGUCCGGAUUGGAGUCUGCAACUCGACUCCAUGAAGUCGGAAUCGCUAGUAAUCGCAGAUCAGAAUGCUGCGGUGAAUACGUUCCCGGGCCU